CCUGGUGGCGAUGGCAGAAGGGUCACACCUGUUCCCAUCUCGAACACAGAAGUUAAGCCUUCUAGCGCCGAUGGUACUGCACUGGAGACGGUGUGGGAGAGUAGGACACUGCCAGGU
rnacentral:rRNA from 1 species